rnacentral:misc_RNA from 1 species
GAUGAAGAACGUAGCGAAAUGCGAUAAGUAAUGUGAAUUGCAGAAUUCAGUGAAUCAUCGAGUCUUUGAACGCACAUUGCGCCCCCUGGUAUUCCGGGGGGCAUGCCUGUCCGAGCGUCAUUGCCGCCCUCAAGCACGGCUUGUGUGUUGGGCCCCCGCCCCCCGGCUUCGGGGGGCGGGCCCGAAAGGCAGCGGCGGCACCGCGUCCGGUCCUCGAGCAUAUGGGGCUUCGUCACCCGCUCUGUAGGCCCGGCCGGCGCCCGCCGGCGACCCCAAUCAAUCUUUCCAGGUUGACCUCGGAUCAGGUAGGGAUACCCGCUGAACUUAAGCAUAUCAAUAAGCGGAGGA